GACGAUCGCUGGCGGCGUGCUUAACACAUGCAAGUCGAACGGAGCGAAUGAAAGCUUGCUUUUAUGAGCUUAGUGGCAAACGGGUGAGUAACACGUAGACAACCUGCCGACAGGAUGGGGACAACAUUCCGAAAGGAAUGCUAAUACCGAAUGAAGCGGAGGAGAGGCAUCUCUCCUCCGUGAAAGAUGGCCUCUUUUUAUGCUAUCACCUGUCGAUGGGUCUGCGUCUGAUUAGCUAGUUGGUGAGGUAACGGCUCACCAAGGCGACGAUCAGUAGCCGGUCUGAGAGGAUGAACGGCCACAUUGGGACUGAGACACGGCCCAGACUCCUACGGGAGGCAGCAGUGGGGAAUCUUCCGCAAUGAGCGCAAGCCUGACGGAGCAACGCCGCGUGAGUGAAGAAGGUCUUCGGAUCGUAAAGCUCUGUUGAUGGGGACGAACGUACGGAGUGCGAAUAGUGCUCUGUAAUGACG
rnacentral:rRNA from 1 species